rnacentral:lncRNA from 10 species
AUUCAACUAGCAUAAAUGUCACUGCUUCACCAUUCCAGCUCAGCAACCACAUCUGGUUAUUUGCACAUGUUGGUCACUUACAGGUCUCUGCCUUAGUUCCUACUGACUAUAGCUACUUGCCUGAAAGCAGUUUUAUUGGAGCAGCUAUUGGCUUCUUCAUUACAGGAGGAAAAAAAGUCUUGCUCUGACGCCCAGGCUAGAGUGCAGUGGCGUGAUCUCGGCUCACUGCAACCUCUGCCUCCCAGGCUCAAGUGAUUGGCCUGCCUCAGCCUCCUGAGUAGCUGGAAUUACAGAUCCUUUGAUGCUAGAAGGAAAGAAGGAAUUGUUGGCAUUUUCCACUUCCAUGAUAGUAUGCAGGUGUUUUACUAUUAUUUUUCACUGUCUGUUAUAGGUCCUGAAUCUGUGCCUCCUUCCCUUCUUAAAGUAGUGAUGAAACCCAUAGCAACUGUUGGAGAAAGCUACCAAUAUCCUCCUGUGAACUGGGCUGCACUUCUCUCUCCACUUAUGAGGCUAAAUUUUGGUGAAGAGAUCCAGCAACUGUGCCUUGAAAUUAUGGUGACCCAGGCACAGUCAUCCCAGAAUGCAGCUGCACUAUUGGGCUUGUGGGUGACACCACCACUGAUCCACAGUCUGAGUCUGAAUACCAAGAGAUAUCUCCUGAUAUCUGCACCU